rnacentral:rRNA from 1 species
GUUACAUGCAAGUCGAACGGGAUCCAUCAGGCUUUGCUUGGGGUGAGAGUGGCGAACGGGUGAGUAAUGCGUGACCGACCUGCCCCAUACACCGGAAUAGCUCCUGGAAACGGGUGGUAAUGCCGGAUGCUCCAGUUGAUCGCAUGGUCUUCUGGGAAAGCUUUCGCGGUAUGGGAUGGGGUCGCGUCCUAUCAGCUUGACGGCGGGGUAACGGCCCACCGUGGCUUCGACGGGUAGCCGGCCUGAGAGGGCGACCGGCCACAUUGGGACUGAGAUACGGCCCAGACUCCUACGGGAGGCAGCAGUGGGGAAUAUUGCACAAUGGGCGCAAGCCUGAUGCAGCGACGCCGCGUGAGGGAUGGAGGCCUUCGGGUUGUAAACCUCUUUUAUCGGGGAGCAAGCGAGAGUGAGUUUACCCGUUGAAUAAGCACCGGCUAACUACGUGCCAGCAGCCGCGGUAAUACGUAGGGUGCAAGCGUUAUCCGGAAUUAUUGGGCGUAAAGGGCUCGUAGGCGGUUCGUCGCGUCCGGUGUGAAAGUCCAUCGCUUAACGGUGGAUCCGCGCCGGGUACGGGCGGGCUUGAGUGCGGUAGGGGAGACUGGAAUUCCCGGUGUAACGGUGGAAUGUGUAGAUAUCGGGAAGAACACCAAUGGCGAAGGCAGGUCUCUGGGCCGUUACUGACGCUGAGGAGCGAAAGCGUGGGGAGCGAACAGGAUUAGAUACCCUGGUAGUCCACGCCGUAAACGGUGGAUGCUGGAUGUGGGGCCCGUUCCACGGGUUCCGUGUCGGAGCUAACGCGUUAAGCAUCCCGCCUGGGGAGUACGGCCGCAAGGCUAAAACUCAAAGAAAUUGACGGGGGCCCGCACAAGCGGCGGAGCAUGCGGAUUAAUUCGAUGCAACGCGAAGAACCUUACCUGGGCUUGACAUGUUCCCGACGGUCGUAGAGAUACGGCUUCCCUUCGGGGCGGGUUCACAGGUGGUGCAUGGUCGUCGUCAGCUCGUGUCGUGAGAUGUUGGGUUAAGUCCCGCAACGAGCGCAACCCUCGCCCCGUGUUGCCAGCGGAUUAUGCCGGGAACUCACGGGGGACCGCCGGGGUUAACUCGGAGGAAGGUGGGGAUGACGUCAGAUCAUCAUGCCCCUUACGUCCAGGGCUUCACGCAUGCUACAAUGGCCGGUACAACGGGAUGCGACGCGGCGACGCGGAACGGAUCCCUGAAAACCGGUCUCAGUUCGGAUCCAA